rnacentral:lncRNA from 10 species
ACCACCAGACCUGUCCGUGGACUGUUAGGAGCCAAGCGGCACAGCAGAGGUGCAAAGUUAUAAGAGGAGGGAGUUCAAAAUAGAAGUAAAAACAAGUAGAAUCAUUUCUCAUGGUAUGGGGUACUGAAGCAGAAAAGGAUGCCCUUCAAUUUGAUAGAAAAGCACUACAUGAAUCCCUGUAAGACUCCACAAAUUAAACUAGGAGCUGUGUCAACCUGCUCUCUGUUUUACAUCCAUGUGGGAGGGUCUACGAGCACUCAUGUGGACAGUGUCUCUGUGCAUCUGUUUAAGAAAUUUUUGCCUACACUGAAGUCACAAGAAUGCUCUCCAAUGUGUUCUUUAAAAAGUCUUAUAGCUUUACUUUUAACAUUUAG